AACGAACGCUGGCGGCAUGCCUAACACAUGCAAGUCGAACGGGAUCCUAGCUUGCUAGGUGAGAGUGGCGGACGGGUGAGUAACACGUGGGAAUCUGCCUUUUGGUUCGGGAUAACCGCGGGAAACUGCGGCUAAUACCGAAUGCCCUCGAGAGAGGAAAGAUUUAUCGCCAGAAGAGGAGCCCGCGUCCGAUUAGGUAGUUGGUGGGGUAAAGCCUACCAAGCCGACGAUCGGUAGCUGGUCUGAGAGGAUGAUCAGCCACACUGGGACUGAGAUACGGCCCAGACUCCUACGGGAGCAGCAGUGGGGAAUAUUGGACAAUGGGGGCAACCCUGAUCCAGCAAUGCCGCGUGAGUGAU
rnacentral:rRNA from 1 species